rnacentral:rRNA from 1 species
GAUGAACGCUGGCGGCGUGCCUAAUACAUGCAAGUCGAGCGAACAGACGAGGAGCUUGCUCCUCUGACGUUAGCGGCGGACGGGUGAGUAACACGUGGAUAACCUACCUAUAAGACUGGGAUAACUUCGGGAAACCGGAGCUAAUACCGGAUAAUAUAUUGAACCGCAUGGUUCAAUAGUGAAAGACGGUUUUGCUGUCACUUAUAGAUGGAUCCGCGCCGCAUUAGCUAGUUGGUAAGGUAACGGCUUACCAGGGCAACGAUGCGUAGCCGACCUGAGAGGGUGAUCGGCCACACUGGAACUGAGACACGGUCCAGACUCCUACGGGAGGCAGCAGAAGGGAAUCUUCCGCAAUGGGCGAAAGCCUGACGGAGCAACGCCGCGUGAGUGAUGAAGGUCUUCGGAUCGUAAAACUCUGUUAUUAGGGAAGAACAAAUGUGUAAGUAACUAUGCACGUCUUGACGGAACCUAAUCAGAAAGCCACGGCUAACUACGUG